rnacentral:misc_RNA from 1 species
UCCGGUUUGUCACCGGCAGUCAUCUUAGAGUGCCCACCCGAGGUGCUGGCAACUAAGAUCAAGGGUUGCGCUCGUUGCGGGACUUAACCCAACAUCUCACGACACGAGCUGACGACAACCAUGCACCACCUGUCUCCCCUGCCCCGAAGGGAAGGUAUAUCUCUGUACCGGUCAGGGGGAUGUCAAGACCUGGUAAGGUUCUUCGCGUUGCUUCGAAUUAAACCACAUACUCCACUGCUUGUGCGGGUCCCCGUCAAUUCCUUUGAGUUUCAGUCUUGCGACCGUACUCCCCAGGCGGAAUGCUUAAUGUGUUAACUUCGGCACCAAGGGUAUCGAAACCCCUAACACCUAGCAUUCAUCGUUUACGGCGUGGACUAC